rnacentral:tRNA from 1 species
GGGGCUGUAGCUCAGCUGGGAGAGCGCUUCCUCGGCAAGGAAGAGGUCGGCGGUUCAAUCCCGCUCAGCUCCA